UUGCUGGGUGGAUUAGUGGCGAACGGGUGAGUAACACGUGAGUAACCUGCCCCCGACUCUGGGAUAAGCCCGGGAAACUGGGUCUAAUACCGGAUAUUACCUUUGACCGCAUGGUUGUUGGUGGAAAGAUUUAUCGGUGGGGGAUGGACUCGCGGCCUAUCAGCUUGUUGGUGAGGUAAUGGCUCACCAAGGCGACGACGGGUAGCCGGCCUGAGAGGGUGACCGGCCACACUGGGACUGAGACACGGCCCAGACUCCUACGGGAGGCAGCAGUGGGGAAUAUUGCACAAUGGGCGAAAGCCUGAUGCAGCGACGCCGCGUGAGGGAUGACGGCCUUCGGGUUGUAAACCUCUUUCAGUAGGGAAGAAGCGAAAGUGACGGUACCUGCAGAAGAAGCGCCGGCUAACUACGUGCCAGCAGCCGCGGUAAUACGUAGGGCGCAAGCGUUAUCCGGAUUUAUUGGGCGUAAAGAGCUCGUAGGCGGUUUGUCGCGUCUGCCGUGAAAGUCCGAGGCUCAACCUCGGAUCUGCGGUGGGUACGGGCAGACUAGAGUGAUGUAGGGGAGACUGGAAUUCCUGGUGUAGCGGUGAAAUGCGCAGAUAUCAGGAGGAACACCGAUGGCGAAGGCAGGUCUCUGGGCAUUUACUGACGCUGAGGAGCGAAAGCAUGGGGAGCGAACAGGAUUAGAUACCCUGGUAGUCCAUGCCGUAAACGUUGGGCACUAGGUGUGGGGGACAUUCCACGUUUUCCGCGCCGUAGCUAACGCAUUAAGUGCCCCGCCUGGGGAGUACGGCCGCAAGGCUAAAACUCAAAGGAAUUGACGGGGGCCCGCACAAGCGGCGGAGCAUGCGGAUUAAUUCGAUGCAACGCGAAGAACCUUACCAAGGCUUGACAUGUGCCAGACCGCCUCAGAGAUGGGGUUUCCCUUCGGGGCUGGUUCACAGGUGGUGCAUGGUUGUCGUCAGCUCGUGUCGUGAGAUGUUGGGUUAAGUCCCGCAACGAGCGCAACCCUCGUUCCAUGUUGCCAGCACGUAAAGGUGGGGACUCAUGGGAGACUGCCGGGGUCAACUCGGAGGAAGGUGGGGAUGACGUCAAAUCAUCAUGCCCCUUAUGUCUUGGGCUUCACGCAUGCUACAAUGGCCGGUACAAUGGGUUGCGAUACUGUGAGGUGGAGCUAAUCCCUAAAAGCCGGUCUCAGUUCGGAUUGGGGUCUGCAACUCGACCCCAUGAAGUCGGAGUCGCUAGUAAUCGCAGAUCAGCAACGCUGCGGUGAAUACGUUCCCGGGCCUUGUACACACCGCCCGUCAAGUCACGAAAGUUGGUAACACCCGAAGCCGAUGGCC
rnacentral:rRNA from 1 species